rnacentral:rRNA from 1 species
UACGUAGGGUGCGAGCGUUAAUCGGAAUUACUGGGCGUAAAGCGUGCGCAGGCGGUUCGUUGUGUCGGCGGUGAAAGCCCCGGGCUUAACCUGGGAAUGGCCGUUGAAACUGGCGAACUGGAGUGUGGCAGAGGGGGGGUGGAAUUCCGCGUGUAGCAGUGAAAUGCGUAGAGAUGCGGAGGAACACCGAUGGCGAAGGCAGCCCCCUGGGCUGACACUGACGCUCAGGCACGAAAGCGUGGGGAGCAAACAGG